CAGCCUCUUCCAUCAUCCUUCUGUCUGACGUUCUGUCCUCUGAUUGGGUCCUUCAGAAGCAGUAUACUGCACAUCCCAAAAGCACAGAGUGUGCUUCGGAAACAUAAGGGUGUUAAGUUUAUGUGCAGUCGUUCUAAUGAAAAAUAAUGCUGGCUGCCUCUGAAUCCAAAUAUAGUCCAGGCCGUUUCUAACCAGUCACAACUGUAGCUCAUGAGUCAUUCUAAUGAAAUGUAUCAGAACAGUGCUAUGAAAACAAGAGGAGGGACCAGAGAAUUCACUGUGCCUGCCAUAAAUGGACCUUCUAUACUGCUGUGACUUCAGAAUCAGGUUUGGUCCUCCAUAAGUUUGGUCCUCCAUACAGCUCCAUUCUUUUUAAUAGUCAACUUAUUUUCGGAUCAUCAGUCAUCAAGCUCGGUAAACACUGGUCAUCAUGUCUUCAGGCCAUUUCAAGUUUGAUUUUGACGUGACAAAGCGGUGAUAUCUAAAUAGAUUCCUCAGUGACGUACAGCACAGUCAUGUCUCUGGGAGGAUCCAUUCCUGCAUCAAGAUGACCAUGAGCCCUAGAGAGAAGGAGGAGUAUGAGUAUGCUGGACACACGACACUCUUCACAAGGACAUUUACAUUGUUAUUGUCUGCUGCUGUCCAGCAGGGACUCUUUCAUGAUUUGUUUAUCUGUCCCAAUAGCUCUUAGCAUCGCAAAAGCAAAGGUUAGAGUGCCUCUGAAAACAGCUAAACAGACUAACAGUCGUUCUGGAGCUUUCUGACAAUUGAGAGGGAAAUAAACAGAUUUAAUCUUGCCAUUAUUGAAGUGGCCAGUCCUUAAAAUGAGUGGAAAGCCAUUCACACCUCCCCAUAUUCAUUAGACUAAUGCAUUCAAUUCAUAAACUAUGGGAGGCAAUUCAUAAACAGGUUGUCAACCUCAUUUAAAUGCUUUCAGGGUGAAAUACUCCUCAGUAAAUGAGUUGUGAUUAUUCAUGUAUGCAUAUCUUAAUUUAUUUUCCACUCAGCAGAGCAGUCAAUAAAUAUAUGUUCAGACUUUGUAUAAAGGGCACAAAGAACAA